CGAACGCUGGCGGCGUGCUUAACACAUGCAAGUCGAGCGGAAAGGCCCUUCGGGGUACUCGAGCGGCGAACGGGUGAGUAACACGUGAGUAACCUGCCCCAGACUUUGGGAUAACCCUCGGAAACGGGGGCUAAUACCGGAUACGACACAGCUUCGCAUGGGGUCUGUGUGGAAAGUUUUUCGGUUUGGGAUGGGCUCGCGGCCUAUCAGCUUGUUGGUGGGGUGAUGGCCUACCAAGGCGACGACGGGUAGCCGGCCUGAGAGGGCGACCGGCCACACUGGGACUGAGAUACGGCCCAGACUCCUACGGGAGGCAGCAGUGGGGAAUAUUGCACAAUGGGCGGAAGCCUGAUGCAGCGACGCCGCGUGAGGGAUGACGGCCUUCGGGUUGUAAACCUCUUUCAGCAGGGACGAAGCGUAAGUGACGGUACCUGCAGAAGAAGCGCCGGCCAACUACGUG
rnacentral:rRNA from 1 species